GAUGAGGUUCGAAGAUGAGAUGCCUUAUACUUGUAUUUUUCUUUUUUUUUAUUUCUGUAAAAAAGUUUUCAUCAAUGAAAUGAAAUUUUACUCCUUUCUAAAUUCAUGCUGUUCUUCACAUGUUUGUUCAGUUAUGCCAGCAUGUCCUUGGUGGCUAUAUCCCUUUAGUUCCUAUUGACGAGCCUUUACCUACAGCUUCUACUGUAUGGAUUAGGUCCCGCAUAUGUAAACUAAAAAAGAAGGUCAAGGAGUUAAAUAGAAAGGCUACCGUCUGGAAGAAGGGGCUGUUGAAGACCAAGAAGGUACUUGAAGAGGCUUCAAUGGAAAUCACAUGGUUG
rnacentral:lncRNA from 1 species